UACGUAGGUGGCAAGCGUUGUCCGGAUUUACUGGGCGUAAAGAGCGCGCAGGCGGUCGGAUAAGUCGAAUGUGAAAGCCCCCGGCUCAACUGGGGAGGGUCAUUCGAUACUGUUCGACUCGAAGGCAGGAGAGGGAAGUGGAAUUCCCGGUGUAGUGGUGAAAUGCGUAGAUAUCGGGAGGAACACCAGUGGCGAAGGCGACUUCCUGGCCUGUUCUUGACGCUGAGGCGCGAAAGCUAGGGGGAGCAAACAGG
rnacentral:rRNA from 1 species